rnacentral:lncRNA from 1 species
UCUAAAAAAAUUUUAAAAGCUAGGAGAAAAGAGAGUUUUCUUUAGUUUUCAGGUUGUUUUACAUGUGCAAUGACAACAGCUGGUGACUUGCAGCUGUAAUGCCAGCCCUCAGAAAGCUGGAGUGGGAGGAAUACUGGAAGGGGAGGCCAGCCUUUUAGUGAUAGUAAAAGACACUGUCACAAACAAACAAACAAACAAACAAAUAACAGUUAUAUAAUGUAAUUUUCUUGUUCCUGCAUAUCAAUGAAGAUUUCACUUUACAUUAUUUUCCUUCCUUUUUAAUUUAUUUUUAAUUUAUUUUUUAAUCUUUUUUGACAGUCCAGACUUUAUUGCCUUCCUGCUCCACCCUCAGGCUGUUCCACAUCCCAUACCUCCCCCACCCCAUCAGACCUCCCCACUCCCUGUGGCUCCAAGUCUCUAGCUGGUUAGGUGCAUCUUCUCUGACUGAGUCCAGACUGUUAAUUUUUUUUAAUUCCUUAAAUUUUUAAGGGCUAUAAUAUUUUCUUAGAUGUUUUCGUUUAUGACAAUGACCUUAUUUUGAGAAUUAUUUGGGAAAGUAUUUAUUAGAGCCAGUCAUGGAGGCUGAGACAGGAAGAUCAUGUAUUCAAGGUCACCUGACCCUACAUAGAAAUACUUACCUGAAAAUAUAAGUGAAAAGAUGUAUUUUAUAGACUAUCCCUCAGUUAAGAUUUGCCCUCACAUUAGAUUGGGGUUAUGUUGUUUUGGGAGGAAGAGCACAGAGGUGGAGCACCAUUUGUCCUGUGUCACCUGGAAAAUGCAUGCUACCAAAGUGAUCCAUUGUUGCUGAUGUGGACUUUGAUCCUACCGAGAGCUUGCUUCUUUAACAUGAGUUUAUUUAUAGAGCUUCUCUAAUUCAAGCUUGCUUAUAGCCAAUGAAGGUUCUUCUUCAGAAACUGGCUUUCCUUUUGAAAUUCUGAACACUGACAUCGUACCAUUGCCAGAUCUACUGGGUAUAUGUCCUCAUGGUUUCCAGAUCUACUGUACAUGUGGCCUUACAGUUGCCAGAUCUACCGUACAUGUGAAGCAGAAAUUAUAAACUUAUAAAUUAAUAGUUGCACAGAUUAAAUAGUCAACCUGAAUUCUCUCUAGGGAAAUUUGCAGAUUAAUCGAAAGCACUGAGAACCACCUGGAGCCAACAACUAAUUGACAGUUUUUCAAAAAAAAAAUCUAAUCUAAUGGUCUAUUUCAAAUAUGAACUCUGACAUGUCUUAGAUAGAAAAUAUAGUUUCCGGUCAAUUCAAAAUUAUAUAAAACUUUUUGCUUUUUAAAGCAUACAUCACGACUUUCACAAUGAGGUAGGAGAUGUAGGUACUGAAAGAUGAAAAUCAAAGCUUCCCUGCAGAAGCCAGGUCAUAACCAGUCUCUGUGCAGUAAGUGUGAAUACUGCAUUCAGCCUCAGGUUUGGACAGUCCUUCCCACCAUGCUAACUUUCAGUUUUGUUGAGAUGAAGUAAAAGGCACAGAGUUACCUCGCCAUGUGUGUUUAUAGCUACACUAUUCACAAAGGC